rnacentral:rRNA from 1 species
UUUAACUGAAGAGUUUGAUCAUGGCUCAGAUUGAACGCUGGCGGCAGGCUUAACACAUGCAAGUCGAGCGGGGGAAGGUAGCUUGCUACUGGACCUAGCGGCGGACGGGUGAGUAAUGCUUAGGAAUCUG